CUUCACAUGGCACAUCACUGUAAAAUGAAAUGCCACCAAACAUUUCUAGCCCUUGUUCACCCUGCUAGUCAUAUGAAGUCAUAUGAAGUCCUCUUGUUUCCUGUAGAGUCAAAGCAGUGAAGGGCAUGUAAGUUUAUGUGAACUCAACAAGCUCCUUCACUGAGAAAAGUGAUUUUGCCAGUUGCACCUGCUGAUGAUUUUAAAAAAUGGACAGCAAAUUGACUCCAGACAUUUAAAUCAUCCACGUACUUUGCAACUUUCAACAUCUCAAGAGACACGUCGGAGAGUGAUUUCACCUGUGGAACUGCACGUUUUGUGAGGGUGAGGCGGUUCACCUGGACCUCCACCUGCUCUACAGGGAGAAAGAUGUCUCCAUCUGCUCACCAGUCCACCGCUGGAAUGCUCUCCAGCUCCCGUCGAGCUCUUGGCCUCAUCCUUCCCGACUGAUGAUCAUCCAGAUAACAUUAUACCCUCCGACCAAUCAGACGCCUGAUUCUGCACGUCAUCCCACAGGUGGAUAAGGAUGCUGCAAAGCACCACGGCCGUCACAACAGUGAAGAACUUCUUGGUGUGAAUGAUGAGAACAGCUCCUGUUUGACUGAGAUGAACUGAGUGCACUCGGGGGGAGGGAGGCGGUGAUAGCACUUGGCACAUAUGUCUGCUCUACUUCAGCCUGAUCCAUGUGUUGUGAUGCUUGCAGUGUCCCGGUUUGGCCCUCCACCACCAAAUGACCCAACAGUGAAUCUGUCUUUGUUUUCAGUGACUGUGCGCAUUUUCCACUCUCCCUUCACCCUCUUCUCUCUGGCUCCAUGACCCCCUGUACCAGCACUCAAGUCACGGACAUUACAAGAGACAGAUACACGGACCACGGGACGAACUGUAACGGGCCAUUAUGAGUCUAAUGUACAUUCCUGUUCUCAGUGUACUCCUCUGGCUCAAACUUCAGGCAUUAAAGAUCACAUUUCAGCCUAUCAUGCAAUCAUCAGAGGAUUUCUCACUCUUCCCCUCCUUAUUGUCUCCAGCCUUUUGUUUCAUGUCAGGUUCUUAAUUCUCUUUUGUUUUGCUUAAAGGCCAAACUAGCUGGCGUACAUGCUUCCUUCCCCUCUUUUUCGGGCUAAUGCACAAUCACAAGUGUCUCAGUCGACACAGGCAUGUUGUAUCAAAUUUGCAUUUACAAUUUAUGUUUAAAGAAAUACAUCUGCUGCUCGGUAUGAUCCCCUGCCUAUGGUGUGUGACUUGGAGGUCACUGACUGUCCUCCCUCCGGACCCAAUCCUUCUUUGGACAUUCUGGGUUUGCUCCAGUUGGGACAGGAAACCCACUGGCUGAGAGAGGGGAAGAGGCCAUAAACGGGGAAAAACAAGGACCAAGAAAAAAGAAAAAAAUGUCUUUACCCAGCGAGUGACUACAAUAAAGUGUGACAUUUAA